ACGCUCGACACCUACGGGCGGCAGCAGUGGGGAAUAUUGCACAAUGGGGGAAACCCUGAUGCAGCGACGCCGCGUGGAGGAAGAAGGUCUUCGGAUUGUAAACUCCUGUUGUUGGGGAAAAAGAGGAUGGUACCCAACAAGGAAGUGACGGCUAACUACGUGCCAGCAGCCGGGUAAUCUGAGCGGGCUGGCAAGGC
rnacentral:rRNA from 1 species